rnacentral:rRNA from 1 species
AGCAGCCGCGGUAAUUCCAGCUCCAAUAGCGUAUAUUAAAGUUGUUGCAGUUAAAAAGCUCGUAGUUGAAUUUCGGGAUUAGUAGGUUGGUCAUGCCUCUGGUAUGUACUGGUCUCACUGAUUCCUCCUUCCUGACGAACCGUAAUGCCAUUAAUUUGGUGUUGCGGGGAAUCUGGACUGUUACUUUGAAAAAAUUAGAGUGUUUAAAGCAGGCCAACGCCUGAAUACAUUAGCAUGGAAUAAUGAAAUAGGACGUUCGAACCUAUUUUGUUGGUUUCUAGGAUUGACGUAAUGAUUAAUAGGGAUAGUUGGGGGCAUUAGUAUUCAAUUGUCAGAGGUGAAAUUCUUGGAUUUAUUGAAGACUGACUACUGCGAAAGCAUUUGCCAAGGAUGUUUUCAUUAAUCAAGAACGAAAGUUAGGGGAUCGAAGACGAUCAGAUACCGUCGUAGUCUUAACCAUAAACUAUGCCGACUAGGGAUCGGAUGAUGUUAAUUUUUUAAUGACUCA